rnacentral:rRNA from 1 species
UACGUAGGCAGCAAGCGUUGUUCGGAGUUACUGGGCGUAAAGGGUGUGUAGGCGGUUCCUUAAGUUUGCUGUGAAAUCUCCCGGCUUAACCGGGAGGGUGCGGUGAAUACUGAGGGACUAGAGUACGGGAGAGGAAAGUGGAAUCCUGGUGUAGCGGUGAAAUGCGUAGAUAUCAGGAGGAACACCGGUGGUGUAGACGGCUUUCUGGACCGUAACUGACGCUGAGACACGAAAGCGUGGGUAGCAAACAGG